GGUCAUAUCACAUUGAAACACCGGUUCUUUACCGAUUACCGAAGUUAAGCAUGGUCGAGCUUGGUUAGUACCUAGAUGGGUGAUGACUUGAGAAUUCUUGGUUGC